rnacentral:tRNA from 1 species
CCCGGAUAUCGAGUCGACCAAUCUCACGUGGGGACUAUUCCCACUCCAGUGUUCAAGUUCAGAACAAUCCGGGUGGU